rnacentral:rRNA from 1 species
UACGGAGGAUCCAAGCGUUAUCCGGAAUCAUUGGGUUUAAAGGGUCCGUAGGCGGUUUUGUAAGUCAGUGGUGAAAGCCCAUCGCUCAACGGUGGAACGGCCAUUGAUACUGCAAGACUUGAAUUAUUAGGAAGUAACUAGAAUAUGUAGUGUAGCGGUGAAAUGCUUAGAUAUUACAUGGAAUACCAAUUGCGAAGGCAGGUUACUACUAAUUGAUUGACGCUGAUGGACGAAAGCGUGGGGAGCGAACAGG